rnacentral:lncRNA from 1 species
UGCCGCCGUUUACUUCUUCUUAAUUUCGUGCUAGUUGGUGGUGCGACGGAGGUGGGGAAGAGGAACGCGUCGUGAGCAGCGCAGCCCCAGCUUCUCUGUGGCUCCUACGGCCGGACCGGGGCCGCCGAAAUCAUUGCGAGAUCGGAUCGAUCGCUAGCUGCCCGCAGCGCCGUGCCGUGCCUCCGCCGUCGUCGUCGCCGCCGGGCCACCGGCUGUCUCGCGCCCGCCGGACCACACACCCAAGACGUCGGCGGUGGCGCUCCGAAAGAAACGUACCGGUGCGUGCGUGCGUUUCUCACAGAACCGACGAGCGCCGCCGCCGUCGGCCACAAAGCCAGAGCAAAAAGCGGAGGA